AUUCUUCCCUGUUCAUAGAUGUGCCGGGUGGCAGCACAGAGCCAUCUGCAGACACCUAGCAAACAGACACAAAAAAGACCCAACUGGGAUGUAUCUUUCAGACGCUGCAGGGCUUGGCGGAAGAUCUGAGCCAUUUGCCUGGACGUUCUCCAUGCUAUUGUGAUCGGCCUCAUCUGUCUGAAACCUUGCUGACCCCGGCUUAUCUGGUGUUGGACCAAAUGACCCUGGAGUCUCUGCAUCUUCUUCAGGGUGACCUGUGCAUGUCUGCUAUCCCUGCCCCUGCCAGCCGUAGGCUGACCUCCACCUGACCCUCAACUGCAUGGGCCCUGAUGAGUCACAGGCUCCCUUCACAGAAGGAAGGUGGAAAAAGCUCACGUGAACGUUGCUUUCCUGUCCUUGGACUUCUGACAUCCCUCGGGCCAGCCCUCAGCAGUGAGCCAACCCGCAAGUCCUGCUCAGGAUCCAGUGGGAAGGCAGCUGUCCUCUUGGAUGAUCCUGGCACCAUAUUGGAAGGAGUCCAUCUGUGGAGGCCAUCAGAGAUUUGAUCACCUCAGCUGUUGUUCAGCUCCUCCGGGGACUGGGGGAAUUUUCGUGCCAUUGGUGUUGACAAUGACAUAAUCCUAGCUC
rnacentral:lncRNA from 1 species